rnacentral:ncRNA from 1 species
ACUGGUUCCUUUAUAACGGUGUCAUUCCAGUGCUUGACACUGGAAUCCAGGUUGCUCACAAGCAAACUAGCAUAGAAAGUGGUUACAACGUUUUCGAUGAGAUUGCAGAAAGGCUGGAUUCCAGUGUCAAGCACUGGAAUGAAAGCAGUCCUACGUCAUGC